rnacentral:rRNA from 1 species
AGAGUUUGAUCAUGGCUCAGAUUGAACGCUGGCGGCAUGCCUUACACAUGCAAGUCGAACGGCAGCAUGAUCUAGCUUGCUAGAUUGAUGGCGAGUGGCGAACGGGUGAGUAAUACAUCGGAGCGUGCCCUGUAGUGGGGGAUAACUAGUCGAAAGAUUAGCUAAUACCGCAUACGACCUGAGGGUGAAAGUGGGGGACCGCAAGGCCUCAUGCUAUAGGAGCGGCCGAUGUCUGAUUAGCUAGUUGGUGAGGUAAAGGCUCACC